rnacentral:rRNA from 1 species
UACGUAGGGUGCGAGCGUUGUCCGGAAUUACUGGGCGUAAAGAGCUCGUAGGUGGUUUGUCGCGUUGUUCGUGAAAUCUCACGGCUUAACUGUGAGCGUGCGAGCGAUACGGGCAGACUGGAGUACUGUAGGGGAGACUGGAAUUCCUGGUGUAGCGGUGAAAUGCGCAGAUAUCAGGAGGAACACCGAUGGCGAAGGCAGGUCACUGGGCCGCAACUGACGCUGAGGAGCGAAAGCAUGGGGAGCGAACAGG